UACGUAGGUGGCAAGCGUUGUCCGGAAUUAUUGGGCGUAAAGCGCGCGCAGGCGGUCCUUUAAGUCUGAUGUGAAAGCCCACGGCUCAACCGUGGAGGGUCAUUGGAAACUGGGGGACUUGAGUGCAGAAGAGGAAAGCGGAAUUCCACGUGUAGCGGUGAAAAUGCGUAGAGAUGUGGAGGAACACCAGUGGCGAAGGCGGCUUCUGGUCUGUAACUGACGCUGAGGCGCGAAAAGCGUGGGGAGCAAACAGG
rnacentral:rRNA from 1 species